GAUUAGAGUUUGAUCCUGGCUCAGAUUGAACGCUUGGCGGGCAUGCCCCUCCCACAUGCAAAGUCGAACGGUAACAGGGAGCUUGCUCCCCCUGACGAGUGGCGAACGGGUGAGUAAUGUAUCGGAACGUACCUUUCAGUGGGGGAUAACGUAGCGAAAGUUACGCUAAUACCGCAUAUUCUGUGAGCAGGAAAGCAGGGGAUCGCAAGACCUUGCGCUGAUUGAGCGGCCGAUAUCAGAUUAGCUAGUUGGUGAGGUAAAGGCUCACCAAGGCGACGAUCUGUAGCGGGUCUGAGAGGAUGAUCCGCCACACUGGAACUGAGACACGGUCCAGACUCCUACGGGAGGCAGCAGUGGGGAAUUUUGGACAAUGGGGGCAACCCUGAUCCAGCCAUGCCGCGUGAGUGAAGAAGGCCUUCGGGUUGUAAAGCUCUUUCGGCCGGGAAGAAAUCGCAUGGGCUAAUACCCUGUGCGGAUGACGGUACCGGCAAAGAAGCCCG
rnacentral:rRNA from 1 species